UGCCAGAACCUGCAGCGCGGCGCCCGUCUUGCUCCUCCUCGGAUGCCAGCCUCGUGCGUCGCCGCUCAUUCAGAGACCUCCGUUUUUGGAGCAGCCGUCGUGCAUGCUGGCUAGUGGCAGUAGUGAGCCGCCUGCGUUUCGCCGUGUGCCCUUCACGAAAACAGAGGUGCAAGCAGUGCAGUCAUUUUUACACCUUGUGAGCUAAAACUUAUCCGGUGCGGACGCAUGGAUAACGUAUAAUGCCGCAACUGGAUAUGAAGACGGAAGUGAAAGAACGCAGCACGGUGGCCGCCACGUCCAGUGCAACAACGUCCAUUUGAUGGCAUGGAAGAAAGGAACAAGAAGUUGGGAAUACAGGACGGGCGUAUGAAAUGGGGAAGUCAACUAAAAUGAGGACAUCC
rnacentral:lncRNA from 1 species